rnacentral:rRNA from 1 species
AUUGAACGCUGGCGGAAUGCUUUACACAUGCAAGUCGAACGGCAGCACGGACUUCGGUCUGGUGGCGAGUGGCGAACGGGUGAGUAAUGUAUCGGAACGUGCCCAGUCGUGGGGGAUAACGUAGUGAAAAUUACGCUAAUACCGCAUACGAUCUACGGAUGAAAGCGGGGGAUCGCAAGACCUUGCGCGAUUGGAGGGGCCGAGAUCAGAUUAGGUAGUUGGUGGGGUAAAGGCCCACCAAGCCAACGAUCUGUAGCUGGUCUGAGAGGACGACCAGCCACACUGGAACUGAGACACGGUCCAGACUCCUACGGGAGGCAGCAGUGGGGAAUUUUGGACAAUGGGCGAAAGCCUGAUCCAGCCAUUCCGCGUGCAGGAUGAAGGCCCUCGGGUUGUAAACUGCUUUUGUACAGAACGAAAAGGUUUCUACUAAUACUAGGCGCUCAUGACGGUACUGUAAGAAUAAGCACCGGCUAACUACGUGCCAGCCGCCGCGGUAA